AUGCCGGAUGCUCCGGUUGGAUGCAUGUCCUUCCGGGAAAGAUCCGUCGGUAUGGGAUGGGGUCGCGUCCUAUCAGCUUGAUGGCGGGGUAACGGCCCACCAUGGCUUCGACGGGUAGCCGGCCUGAGAGGGCGACCGGCCACAUUGGGACUGAGAUACGGCCCAGACUCCUACGGGAGGCAGCAGUGGGGAAUAUUGCACAAUGGGCGCAAGCCUGAUGCAGCGACGCCGCGUGCGGGAUGGAGGCCUUCGGGUUGUAAACCGCUUUUGAUCGGGAGCAAGCCCUUCGGGGUGAGUGUACCUUUCGAAUAAGCACCGGCUAACUACGUGCCAGCAGCCGCGGUAAUACGUAGGGUGCAAGCGUUAUCCGGAAUUAUUGGGCGUAAAGGGCUCGUAGGCGGUUCGUCGCGUCCGGUGUGAAAGCCCAUCGCUUAACGGUGGGUCUGCGCCGGGUACGGGCGGGCUGGAGUGCGGUAGGGGAGACUGGAAUUCCCGGUGUAACGGUGGAAUGUGUAGAUAUCGGGA
rnacentral:rRNA from 1 species